rnacentral:rRNA from 1 species
UCCGUAGGCGGUGCGGCAAGUCGGAAGUGAAAUACUCCGGGCUUAACUCGGAGGCUGCUUCCGAAACUGCCGUGCUCGAGUGCGAGAGAGGCAAGUGGAAUUGCGGGUGUAGCGGUGAAAUGCGUAGAUAUCCGCAGGAACAUCCGAGGCGAAAGCGGCUUGCUGGAUCGCAACUGACGCUGAGGGACGAAAGCUAGGGGAGCAAACAGGAUUAGAUACCCUGGUAGUCCUAGCCCUAAACCAUCAGGACUUGGGGUUUGCCCUGUACGGGGCAAGUCCCGGAGCUAACGCGUUAAGUCCUGCGCCUGGGGAGUACGGUCGCAAGGCUGAA